GGGGUAGAAUUUCGGUGGAGCGGUGAAAUGGGUAGAGAUUGAAGGAAUACCGGUGGGGAAGGCGGCCCCCUGGACAGAUACUGACACUCAGAUGCGAAAGGGUGGGGAGCAAACAGGAUUAGAUACCCUGGUAGUCCACGCCGUAAACGAUGUCUACUUGGAGGUUGUGGCCUUGAGCCGUGGCUUUCGGAGCUAACGCGUUAAGUAGACCGCCUGGGGAGUACGGUCGCAAGAUUAAAACUCAAAUGAAUUGACGGGGGCCCGCACAAGCGGUGGAGCAUGUGGUUUAAUUCGAUGCAACGCGAAGAACCUUACCUACUCUUGACAUCCAGAGAACUUUCCAGAGAUGGAUUGGUGCCUUCGGGAACUCUGAGACAGGUGCUGCAUGGCUGUCGUCAGCUCGUGUUGUGAAAUGUUGGGUUAAGUCCCGCAACGAGCGCAACCCUUAUCCUUGUUUGCCAGCGAGUAAUGUCGGGAACUCCAGGGAGACUGCCGGUGAUAAACCGGAGGAAGGUGGGGACGACGUCAAGUCAUCAUGGCCCUUACGAGUAGGGCUACACACGUGCUACAAUGGCGCAUACAGAGGGCGGCCAACUUGCGAGAGUGAGCGAAUCCCAAAAAGUGCGUCGUAGUCCGGAUUGGAGUCUGCAACUCGACUCCAUGAAGUCGGAAUCGCUAGUAAUCGUGGAUCUAAAUUGCACGGGGAACGGUGUAGAGGGCGUCCCGGUCUCCGUAUGUAGUGACACGGGAUCGGUAUAGAUUGUUCCAAGGUCUCCGUAAGUCGUAACACAGGUAGCCGUAUAGUU
rnacentral:rRNA from 1 species